AUUGAACGCUGGCGGCAGGCCUAACACAUGCAAGUCGAACGAGGGGCGGACGGGUGAGUAAUGUCUGGGAAACUGCCUGAUGGAGGGGGAUAAAUACUGGAAACGGUAGCAAAUACCGCAUACAAUCAGGUGUGCCCAGAUGGGAUUAGCUAGUUGGUGAGGUACAGGCUCACCAAGGAGACGAGCCCUAGCUGGUUGGAGAGGAUGACCAGCCACACUGGAACUGAGACACGGUCCAGACUCCUACGGUAGGCAGCAGGGGGGAAUAUUGCACAAUGGGCGCAAGCUUGAUUGAGCCAUGCCGCGUGUAUGAAGAAGGCCUUCGUGUUGUAAAGUACUUUCAGCGGGGAGGCGUUACCCACAGAAGAAGCACCGGCUAACUCCGUGCCAGCAGCCGCGGUAAUUC
rnacentral:rRNA from 1 species